CUCAUUAAUAUGGGUGGCCUAUUGCUCUU
rnacentral:piRNA from 1 species